UUUCCGGUAAAUACGACACUAAUGGAUUUGGGACAACACUACACGGUCAAACGUCCCGCACUCGGAAACUUAAGUACACAGUACUGUUUACUUAUUGACGUGAAAAUACGGAAGCGCGACAGUAAAAACACGGAGCUAAAUAGCUUCCGUUUGUGGAAACUUAUUCACUUUUUUCAGCAGCCAUGAAGCUAACAGCUUUUGUCGCUUUUGUUGUCCUCCACUGAGAUUGUCGCUAUCCUCCAUUACAGUGGUGUCGCUCUUUUGGAGAUUGCUAUUUGAAUGCAAGGAGCUUUUGUCAAGCAAUACUUACCUUCACCUGCCAUAAUGGAGAACCGGAAUGCCAUGGGAAUAUGAUUGAGGGUUGCAUCCUGCACCUGCCAGACCAUGCAGCAUUCCCUAUCAUCUUCUUCAUGGAAUCUGAACUGGUUGGUGACGCCUGGGUGGUCGACAUCGUGGAUGGCGCUAGCAAACAAAACGGCCAUGAUCUCUAAAUCUGUAAAGACAGCCUGGGAAGAAACACCAAGAGAAGAAGAAUUAGAAGUCACGCUAGACAGGAAGUGUUCUCCAUGUGUUCUCCUAAAUGAUCCACGGAUUCACCUCCAGAGCCGGCGUGGACAGGAGAACGUGCGUGGACUGCACCACGUCGGCGGCAUGGAUGUUGUUGUGAUAAGCGACAUCAGCACGGUAAUGGUCCUCUAACGUCAUCAUGAAGGUGAUGAAGGUGUUCAUCGGGAUUUUAAAGGUUUUUAAAAGUUCUCGUUCCUGUUAGGAUUCAAAGAAGAAUUUUAACUUCCUUUUUCUUCCCGCUCCUGAAACAAUCUUGAUCUACUUUCUACCUGGAAGAUGGAGAACAUUAAAACCGUCAAAGGGCGGUUUCCGGAGAGUUCUGCUAUCUUGAAUAUGUCCAACCCCCAACGGUUAAGGUCCUCAAUCUCCUGAGGGAAUCAAACGUGACAUUUAGAACAUAUUUUCUUUCUUUCUUCUGUGUUCUUUAUUUGGAGACCCACGCCAGCCAGCAGGUUCUCCUGCGGGGUGUUGACUCCAAAACGAGGGAUGGAGGUAGAUGCCAGGCUGGGGCUCGGUGUGGUCUUUUUCACACCGCUGAUCUGUGACAUGGGCCUCUUCUUCUUCUCCUUCUCCUUUGGCGGUGGAGACAAGAUCUCCACAUCGUGUUGUUUCUCUGCAGCGACAACCACACAACCAAAAAUUUUAAAAAACUAAAUUAAAAAAAAUAAAAAUUAAUAACAUAAAUUUAUAAAUAAAAUAAAUUUGCUAAAUACAAAGAUGAAGAGUCUUGAACCAGUAAUGAUGUGCUAUAUAUAUCACUAUAUUGACACUUACUAUGGUACCCAUUAUGGCAUUGGAUGCUCAUAUCACCG